UUAAUACUUCCUCCGUACGAAAAUACUUGUCAUCAAAAUGGAUAAAAGGGGAUGUAUCUAAAUGUAUUUUAGUUAUAGAUACAUCUCUUUUUAUCCAUUUUAAUGACAAGUAUUUUUAGACGGAGGGAGUAACUA
rnacentral:pre_miRNA from 1 species